GAAAAGCACUAGAACACAGAGAGCUAAGAUGAUAAGUUUCAUGAUAGUUGUGGUUUUGAAAGUGUUCAGCUCCAAACUUUGUGCAAGAAAGUUGA